UUUAGGGAAAAAAAAAAAAAUCGAAUUUCUCUGAAUGACUGAUGAAAUAACUGGAUGAAAUAACUGGAUGAAAUGACGGAUGGAUUUUGUCGAUAACCUCGCGAAAUUGGACCUACAUUUCAUUCAUUUAUAUUUCACACAUUCACAACAUCCUCAUCUACCCUACACAUCCAUUUAUACAACAAGCAUCCUACACAUUCAUCUAUAUACCAUCCACAUCUCCCUAUACAUUCAUCUCAUCUAUACAAGCAUACAUCACACCAUAUCCUUCUAAAGCUUUACCUGCAGUCGUCAUAUGUCAGUCUCAAUAUACACAUACACACGUCACAC
rnacentral:sRNA from 1 species